UUUCUGUGUUGUUCCUCUUUUCCUCCUCUCUUCUCUCCUCUCUUUCUCCUCCUCUUUCCUCUCCUCCUCUCUUCUCUCCUCCGCUCUUCUCUCCUCUUCUCUCCUCUCCUCCUCUCUUCUCUUCUCUUCUCUCCUCUCCUCCUCUCUUCUCUUCUCUUCUCUUCUCUUCUCUUCUCUUCUCUUCUCUUCUCUUCUCUUCUCUUCUCUUCUCUUCUCUUCUCUUCUCUUCUCUUCUCUUCUCUUCUCUUCUCUUCUCUUCUCUUCUCUUCUCUUCUCUUCUCUUCUCUUCUCUUCUCUUCUCUUCUCUUCUCUUCUCUUCUCUUCUCUUCUCUCCUCUCCUCCUCUCUUCUCUUCUCUCCUCCUCUCUUCUCUUCUCUCCUCAUCCCCUCCUCUACUCUUCUCCUCUCUUCCUUUCUUCUCUCCUCCUCCUCUCCUCUUCUCUCCUCCUCCUCUCUUCUUUCCUCCUCCUCUCCUCCUCUCUUCUUUCGUCCUCUUCUCUCCUCCUCUCUUCUCUCCUCCUCUCUUCUCUCCUCCUCUCUUCUCUCCUCCUCUCUUCUCUCCUCCUCUCUUCUCUCCUCCUCUCUUCUUUCCUCCUCCCAUUCUCUCCUCCUCUCUCCUCUCUUUCCUCCUCCUCUCUUCUCUCCUCCUCUUCUCUCCUCUCUUCUCUUCUUCUCUCUUCUCUCCUCCUUCUCCUCCUCCUUCCUCUCCUGUUCUCUGCAACUUAACUUCCUUCCUCCUCCUCCCUUCUCUCCUCAGCCUAGGUUGGCCCCUCCUCUCCACCAGGCCAUACCUCUACCAGCUGUCUGCAGCGUCCACAACACACUACCCACAACCUACCAGGAGACUCACCACGCUACCCACAACCUACCAGGAGACUCACCACGCUACCCACAACCUACCAGGAGACUCACCACGCUACCCACAACCUACCAGGAGACUCACCACGCUACCCACAACCUACCAGGAGACUCACCACGCUACCCACAACCUACCAGGAGACUCACCACGCUACCCACAACCUACCAGGAGACUCACCACGCUGCCAACAACCCAUCUGGAGUGAGUGCUUGGCCUGGUCGCUGCCUGCCGAUAGAUAGACAUGAUGGACCAACUGACUGA
rnacentral:lncRNA from 1 species